rnacentral:lncRNA from 1 species
ACUUUUCUUUUUGCACGAAGGUCAAGCCAAUCCCGCCAGAUUAACUGAGAGAUCCACGUGGAUGACCAACAGCAAUUCCACCACUUUGACUGACAGAAAUUGCUAUGGAUGAUGGAUGAUGUUGCGCUGAUGGAUGGAUGGUGGGCAUGGGGUAUCUCAUCGAUGAGAGCGACAGAACCCCAUGCAUGAAAAACUCGCAUACUAGCGGGAUAUGAAGAACUUGGUAGUGGUGCUAGCGGGAUACAUUAAAAAAAAAAUUGGAAAAAAUUUGCAAAUAGAGCCUCUAAGAAAAAAGUUUGCAAAGCCACUCCCUUGUGCCACUCCCUUAUGUCAUUUUGCCAUCUACUGUUCUACACAGGUUGGCAGAAGGAGCCGCGAAGGCAACAACAAAAACAGAACAGAAAAGUACAGUGAUUACAAAAGAAAAUUGAGCAUUCCAUGUGUCGUGUCUCUAAUUCCUUUCUU